GUCGAAUUUCAUAAUUAUGGCAUUUUUUAUUUGCAUUUUAAUUGCUACAUUGUAAAUACGCGUAUUCAAUAUCAAUAAUUACACAUAGACAUACAUUGAAUUUCUGUAUUUUCUAAUGGAUAAACAACAUACGAAUAUUUUACGAUAAACACAUCAAUAUAUAUGUAUAUUUAUAUCUAUGUACUUAAUAUUUUAUGCUUGAAUAUAUCUGUAUAUGUUUAUUUAUUUAUUCAUGUGUGUGUGUGUGUGUAAAUGCAUAUCUAAUGGGGUUUACAAAUUGUGUUUAGCCAUUAAAUUGAAGGAGUUUUGUUAUAUAUGCCUGCUGGUAAUUACGCACUAAUUACAUAAGUAAGUCUCUAUAUAUAUUGUUAUUUAUAUAUAUAUAUAUAUA